AAUAAACCGGAGACCUCUUAUGGUCUCAAAAACCUGUAUCUAUCUUAGAUACUAACCUGGGUUACCAAGAACCCCUAUAUAUAUUUAGACCAAAUGUCUAAUAAACCGGAGACCUCUUAUAGUCUCAAUAUAACUAGAGUCCUUACACCUUUCCUAUCUACUGGAUACAGACUUACUGAACCAAAGGGGGGUCAUAGACAAUCAGCGUCAAAUAAGACACAAAAAGGCUACUCACCGCAAAUGGUUUUGCUGAUCCACUUCAUCUAUCCCACUUCUGACACCAAGCUGAAAGGGUUAAUGUUGUAAUGGACUCUAAUCCCCUCGGUUCUCGAUCCCUCGGUCACCAUAAUCAACGUUGAUGGAGAAUCAUUUGUAAGCAAUAACACACGGACAACAGCUUUACAAGACUCUCAAA
rnacentral:lncRNA from 1 species